rnacentral:rRNA from 1 species
UACGUAGGGUGCAAGCGUUGUCCGGAAUUAUUGGGCGUAAAGAGCUUGUAGGCGGUUUAUCGCGUCUGCCGUGAAAAUCCGGGGCUCAACCCCGGACUUGCGGUGGGUACGGGCAGACUAGAGUGUGGUAGGGGAGACUGGAAUUCCUGGUGUAGCGGUGAAAUGCGCAGAUAUCAGGAGGAACACCGAUGGCGAAGGCAGGUCUCUGGGCCACUACUGACGCUGAGAAGCGAAAGCGUGGGGAGCGAACAGG